CCUGGCGGCCUUAGCGCGGUGGUCCCACCUGAUCCCAUGCCGAACUCAGAAGUGAAACGCCGUAGCGCCGAUGGUAGUGUGGGGUCUCCCCAUGCGAG
rnacentral:rRNA from 1 species